rnacentral:rRNA from 1 species
UACAGAGGGUGCAAGCGUUAAUCGGAUUUACUGGGCGUAAAGGGCGCGUAGGUGGUUAUUUAAGUGAGAUGUGAAAUCCCCGGGCUUAACCUGGGAACUGCAUCUUAUACUGGGUAACUGGAGUACAUUAGAGGGUAGUGGAAUUUCCGGUGUAGCGGUGAAAUGCGUAGAUAUCGGAAGGAACACCAGUGGCGAAGGCGGCUACCUGGAAUGAUACUGACACUGAGGCGCGAGAGCGUGGGGAGCAAACAGG